CCGGUCGUCUCUCUCGAUGCCCACCCCAAAUCCCCUCCUUGUUCGUCUCUCCUCCUCCAAUCCCGUGUGAUUCCUCUCCUGCUCAGCCCGCCGCCGGUCCCACCACCGCCAUCUCCCCCGCGUGCCAGGCCAGGAAGGCGCAGGCGGAAGCAAUGGACGAUGGCGACGCGCGCGGCCUGGAGGAGCAGGAAGCGGCCGCGGCCGAGGUGGCGUGGGAGUUGCAAGAGGCGGCAGCGGCCCUCGCCGUGCGCUGCGCCGCCGACGAGGACGCGCUGCGGCGCAGCGCGGUCGCGCUGGACGGGGAGCUGCGGCGCCUCCAGGGCUCCGUCGCCGCCCUCGAACCCGCCGUGCUCGACAAGGUCCGCGCGAGCCCCCGAGCCCCUCACCAUUGUUCUCUUGAUUGAGGCCACCAAGGUCAUCCUCGUCCUCCACAACCACGAGCAGGGCAAGAAUACCCGCUUUCUGCUUCUCUUGGCUGGCCAGCCAUGUCUCUUCCAUAGCCUGACGCCUUCUCUACCAUGAGAAGACAGGGGAGAGGACACCAUGCUCUGCAACCUCCAUCCCUGGCCCCUCUACAUGGAGCGGCAGCCAACCAGGCUUCCUCUGGCCCAUCCCAUCUCUCAACCUCCAUGCCUUUGUUGAUUCGAGAUGUGUUUUGUAUCUAUGCAUAUGAACUGUUUGAGGAAAUGUCUAAAUAGGCUGCAUGUAAAUUGUUUGAGGAAAUGUCUAAGUAGGCUGCACGAACAAGAUAUCUACCUUUUUAGGGCUAUUUUGUCGUCUUUUCUUACCUAUGAUGGUCAAGCUGGUUAUGUUUGUUACCAUCAGAGUGAGAAGCUUAACCCUUCACAGUGGUGGUGGUUGUUCUCUUGUACAACUUGCCAUAAAUCAGUGAUUGCACAUGGUGCUCAAUACACAUACUCUAAUUUGAUUGUUUUACUGUUGAUGCAUUGCCAAGGUACUGAGAGCAGAUGCCUUGACAUAGGGAAUGCUCCCGAGGGGGGGGUGAGGAGGUCAGGGUGAGGGGCAGAGAGAGACUCCCCCAGUUUUAGGUUGUGGCUCUGGUGUAACUGGACAAAUUAGGUAUGUAUCUUACUUGCAUGAUCCUAUUGUUUCCGCAGAAUUCGGCACCCACCUAAAAUAUGCGCAUGGGUAUUCAUGGAAGAUGUUAUAUUGGUUCCUUGGAUUCUCUCGGAAUGCUAUUGUAUAUGUAUGUAUGAGCACCGAACAUAGGUGUACCUGCCAUAAGUACGGAGGCUAUUUCCAUGAAAACAUUUUCUUCAGAUUACAAAACUGAAUUAAUAUGCCACUUUACACAAUUGCUUUCCAUAAAAAAAUGUUUAUAGCUCUAUAAUAUAUAACAUCGGUUGCACAUAUUUUUCUUCUUAUACUGAAGCUUAUAUGCUCCUACUGCGGAAAUUAAUCCAGUAUGAAGCAAAUAAGAUGACGUUGGUCUGUCCCUAAUGCAUUCUUUAAAGCCCUGGUGAGUUUAGAUGUUCUGCUUAUGAGCCAUAUUUACAUAUCUGUAAUGAUUAUGCAAUUAUAUUUUGUCUUGCCGCUUUUCAUUUUUAUUCUAGGUCAUUUGUUCAGCCAGAAAAAUGUUGGUCUUACCUUUCAUCUAAAGAAAGGCUUUCUAAAAUUGUUAACAUUCUGCCUUAGUAUUCCUGAAGUUGCGUACGUUGUUUGAUGCGUUUUUUUAUCUCCCUUUGAUUAUCGUUCAGCAAAUAUUUCAAUGAAUAUGUCCAUGCUCUAGAAAGUUUUGAUCAGAUCUACAGAUGUAAACCUGUUUUGCGUUGCAUUUUCAGAAAACUAACCAAUAGUCAUGACACAUCAGCUUGUUUGCAGGGGAGCCGUAUUGUUCGUGUUGUCCUCCAGAUGUUUAGCCAGCUUCUCUGUAUUUAUGUUAUUAUCACUUACACAGUAAUGAUUUUCUGAAGUUAAUUGUCUCUGCAAUUUGUCUGUUACGCAGUAUGGCGUUUGCUGAAUCAUUUAACAAUGCGAAAGGUUUGGAAGGCCUGUCAAGAGACUCCAUUUGAGUAUUCAUUUUCACCAGGGAGUACAAGGAGUUGAGGAGGAAAAAGGAGAUAGAUAUCCAUCGGCGGUGGCAUGCAGUGCGGGGUCGAGUUGGAGGCGAACAUCAAGAAGUAUAUAAGAAGGUGACAGUCGCUGGAGCAUACCAUAGAACGGACCAUUACCACAAGAACUUGAGUUUUAAGCAAGCUAGGGUUGGACUGAAUUGUGUUGGUGGUAUUAUUUCAAUACUUUGUCUGCAGCCCCAAAAAUGGAACCAUUGAGUAAGACAUUAGUCAAGAUAAUGCAGGUGUCGUGUGGACAUAUCUAGCGCCUUCGUCGUGAGUACUUAGAGUGGUUGCUGAUGGCGAGUCCAAACUGGAUGCAUCAACUAUUAAACCAACGCUUGUUUAUUCUGAAGUGUUGUGAAUCUGAAGCGGGGUAAUCGUGCAUUCUCCAACAGGGUUAUGCAUUCUGUGCAAAAAAUAAUUGGUGUAGUAUAUGCUCCAAUACCAGUAGUUUUUUGCCCCGAAAUGGGGCAGCCUCAGCCUCUGCAUCCAACACCCGUAGACGACUUAAGGAUGAAUCAAAAUGGCUCAGGUAAUGGAUUUAAUUGAUGUUUCAUAUGAGCAGGUUAAUUCCUUAUGUUCCACUUCAAAUACUCAUGUGCUUUCCAUCCGUUACAUGUAAUUACUAAUUGAUCUGUUACACUUUUAUCACACGAUGUGUCAUGUUUUUCUUGUUGUUCCAUAAGAUAAGACAUAUUUCUGUAAGAUUGAAUAGCUACCAUCUCUACCGGCUUUGGAUCAAAUUCCUACCAGUAUUAUCUUAUAUAAUUAUAUAUAUGUUACACUGAAUAUCUAAGUGACUGUGUGACUGUAGGUGUAUGUAUAUAAUUUUGUAGUAGUAAUGGCAUCGGCAUGUGCCUUAGUUUCAUGACAUUUUGUGCAAGAAAUAAAGCAGGAAGAAGAAGCUGCUAGAAUAGGAAGGACCUAGGAAUCCUUUUUUGUUUUUCUUUAGAUUUAGAUUAGUUAAUCUUUUUUGAAAAGUAAAAAGGGGUGGAGUAAACCUAUUUUUAUUUUCUUCGAAACUAGUGCCCUCUUCUUCCGCGUGUAGAAAAGGAAGAAAUAAAUCAAUCAAAUUACGAGAGGCCUCAUAAAGCGCUUCCUUAGGGGUUAAACUUCCAUUAGUCCAUAUUUCUAGAAAAAGUAUCUCGUGUUUUUCAUUUCCAUUCCCACAAGAAAAAAUACUA